rnacentral:rRNA from 1 species
AGGUAAGCUACUAAGAGCGAAUGGUGGAUGCCUUGACUGGUAAAGGCGAUGAAGGACGUACUAGACUGCGAUAAGCUACGGGGAGCUGUCAAGAAGCUUUGAUCCGUAGAUUUCCGAAUGGGGCAACCCAAUGUAUAGAGAUAUACAUUACCUAUAUAGGAGCGAACGAGGGGAAUUGAAACAUCUUAGUACCCUCAGGAAAAGAAAUCAAUAGAGAUUGCGUCAGUAGCGGCGAGCGAAAGCGCAAGAGGGCAAACCCAGUGCUUGCACUGGGGGUUGUAGGACUGCAAUGUGCAAGAGGUAAGUUUAGCAGAACAUUCUGGAAAGUAUAACCAUAGAGGGUGAUAGUCCCGUAUGCGAAAAACAAACCUUAGCUAGCAGUAUCCUGAGUAGGGCGGGACACGAGGAAUCCUGUCUGAAUCCGGGUCGACCACGAUCCAACCCUAAAUACUAAUACCAGAUCGAUAGUGCACAAGUACCGUGAGGGAAAGGUGAAAAGAACUGAGGUGAUCAGAGUGAAAUAGAACCUGAAACCAUUUGCUUACAAUCAUUCAGAGCCCUAUGUAGCAAUACAGGGUGAUGGACUGCCUUUUGCAUAAUGAGCCUGCGAGUUGUGGUGUCUGGCAAGGUUAAGCAAACGCGAAGCCGUAGCGAAAGCGAGUCUGAAUAGGGCGCUUAGUCAGAUGCUGCAGACCCGAAACGAAGUGAUCUAUCCAUGAGCAAGUUGAAGCUAGUGUAAGAACUAGUGGAGGACUGAACCCAUAGGCGUUGAAAAGCCCCGGGAUGACUUGUGGAUAGGGGUGAAAGGCCAAUCAAACUUCGUGAUAGCUGGUUCUCUCCGAAAUAUAUUUAGGUAUAGCGUUGUGUCGUAAUAUAAGGGGGUAGAGCACUGAAUGGGCUAGGGCAUACACCAAUGUACCAAACCCUAUCAAACUCCGAAUACCUUAUAUGUAAUCACAGCAGUC